GGUGAGAUGGCCGAGUUGGUUAUGGCGCCAGGUUAAGGUUCUGCGGGCAUUUGCCUACAGCAAACUCGCUUCUUAACAUAUUUCCUGGUCACGUUUCGUGGCGUGGGUUCGAGUCCCACUCUCAUCA